UUUGAUGGCGACCGGCGAACGGGUGCGUAACGCGUAUGCAACUUACCUUUUACUAGAGAAUAGCCAAGAGAAAUUUUGAUUAAUGCUCUAUGUUCUUAUUUACUCGCAUGAGUAAAUAAGCAAAGCUCCGGCGGUAAAAGAUGGGCAUGCGUCCUAUUAGCUUGUAGGUGAGGUAAUGGCUCACCUAAGCUCCGAUAGGUAGGGGUCCUGAGAGGGAGAUCCCCCACACUGGUACUGAGACACGGACCAGACUUCUACGGAAGGCAGCAGUAAGGAAUAUUGGACAAUGGAGGCAACUCUGAUCCAGCCAUGCCGCGUGAAGGAAGACGGCCUUAUGGGUUGUAAACUUCUUUUAUACAGGAAGAAACCUUUCCACGUGUGGAAAGCUGACGGUACUGUAAGAAUAAGGAUCGGCUAACUCCGUGCCAGCAGCCGCGGUAAUACGGAGGAUCCAAGCGUUAUCCGGAAUUAUUGGGUUUAAAGGGUCCGCAGGCUGUUUGUUAAGUCAGAGGUGAAAUCCUACCGCUCAACGGUAGAACUGCCUUUGAUACUGGCAAACUUGAGUUAUUGUGAAGUAGUUAGAAUGUGUAGUGUAGCGGUGAAAUGCAUAGAUAUUACACAGAAUACCGAUUGCGAAAGCAGAUUACUAACAAUAUACUGACGCUGAGGGACGAAAGCGUGGGUAGCGAACAGGAUUAGAUACCCUGGUAGUCCACGCCGUAAACGAUGGUCACUAGCUGUUCGAUGUACAUUGGUACGUUGAGUGGCU
rnacentral:rRNA from 1 species